UACGAAGGGGGCUAGCGUUGUUCGGAUUUACUGGGCGUAAAGCGCACGUAGGCGGAUAUUUAAGUCAGGGGUGAAAUCCCAGAGCUCAACUCUGGAACUGCCUUUGAUACUGGGUAUCUUGAGUAUGGAAGAGGUGAGUGGAAUUCCGAGUGUAGAGGUGAAAUUCGUAGAUAUUCGGAGGAACACCAGUGGCGAAGGCGGCUCACUGGUCCAUAACUGACGCUGAGGUGCGAAAGCGUGGGGAGCAAACAGG
rnacentral:rRNA from 1 species